AAUAGUUUGAUGCAUCACCAUGGUCAUCAAAAUUAGCAAACCACUGCUGGUAUAUUCAAAAUGAGGGCUUAAAUUUACCUCCUCCUUCAGUUUCAAGCAACAUCCAAACUCAACAGUCAUUUUUUUCGACAAUGAAAAAGUUUAGUUUUCUUUGGGAAACCCUCAGUUGAAGAAAAAGGAACACUUUGCUGAAAGAAAUGGUAAUAAAAACAGAAAGCGACCAUGACGCUUAUUGUAAGGGCUUGGUACCUGCAGAGCAAACUGUACCUUCUGUAACAAAACAAAGAAAAAUUCCAGUUUCAAAAGUUUUUAUUGUUAGCAACCAUCAACAGAAAUUAUUAAAUAUGCUAAUAAAUAGAAAAGUUGUGAAGUCUCUAUUUGAGGAUAGAUGCUAGAAAUAGAACAUACUUUAGCUUCAGAAGCUAUUGAUGAUUCUAUUAUUGAUUGCUCAAUACCAUAUAUUAGAAAUUUAUUCAGUGAAUAUGCGUGGAACAAAAUUCAACUAAUUAUAAAAGAAAUUUGGAAAUGAUUUUCAUGUGAAUUAUGAACUGCACAGACUAAUAUGAUACAGUGCGAUAAAUGCGAGAAAUGGUUUCACUGGAGCUGUGCGAACAUAACUUUCAAUUUUGAAGAGACUCAAGAAUGGUUUUGCGCAGCCUGUUAUUUGAUAAGUAUGCAUGUUGAAUAGACAGCAUUAUUUAAAUUGUAUACUAAUAUUUUAUGUAUAUUAAAAUCUUUAUCCUAAAGUGGGCUAUAAUGAACCUCUGGCUGAGGCGAUUCCCCCAUUUUAAUGGAUAAUAAAGAAAGAAAGAAUGAAA